CCUUCAUCCCUGCUUCUUCUUCUUACUCCCAAUAUGAUUAAGCAAGUUUAUCUCUCCCGAACCACUAUAUAUAUACAGUACAGUCUGUUCCGCAGAUCCACAUGAAACACAGAAGAAGAGAUUGUGCGGUACGCUCACUGUACUACUCCGCCGUCUGGGGUGAACGUAUUCCUGUACUCAACUGCCGCCACCGUGGCGGUGCCGUCGUCCAUAACCGCCGAGGAUAGCGGCGGCAGUGGAGAACUUCCGGCGGGCUGUUCGAACUUCAUAUUCUUGGGAGCGUAAGUCAUCGCCGCAUUUAUAUUGAAUAUAAUGGAAGAAACAAAAAGUUUGGCUUAGCUUGCUGGUUAUAUGUGCUCACCUACCUCUGAUCUUAACAAACACUUCAGCCUGGACGAUGGUCUUACAACAAAUGUUUGGAUCACACACAUUGGAAAUGACAAAGGAUCGGGUUCCUAGUUGCUCAUUCCAAAUUGUCGAGCUUGACUCAUUCCGAAUCGUCGAGUCUUUACUUUUGAAUUAUCUGUUGGAACGUUCCAUCCGGUUCAUUCUUAAUCGUUGAGCCUGACUCAUUCUGAAUCGUCGAGUCUUUAUGGACCAUUAUGCCGAUAAUGGCCUGUGCCGAUAUAAUGGUGGUUGUAGGUUGCCAAUGAGUUAUAUGUUAAGGAAUGAUUUGAGCUUUUAAAAGUAUUGUGUUAUGAAAUAAUGUUGAUGCCCAUGUACCUAAAGUUUUCUAUAUUUGGGAACUUGUGUACAGUAUGAUAGAAUUAUAUUAUGAAUUGGUAUAGUUAAAAGAUCGAGAUUUGCAUAUAUUUAUUACUCUAAAGCUUAUUGUAUUAUAUUAAGGUUACUUGAUCCGGGGUUAAGAAGAGUAUCACUUACUGGGCAUUAGCUCAUUAUUUAAUAUUUUCUUAUGUUUCAUAGUUAAGGAGUUGUGAAUAGCACUAGCACUAGCGAUGAGGUCUUGAAAGUGACUUUUGAAACUAGGAGGCUUAGUUCUAGUAUUGGAGCUUAUCACAGAUUUUUGUUUCUUUGGAUAUUCAAUUCCAUUUGACCGUUUAUAUUUUUGGUAAAGCAUUAUGCUUGAUUUUGGUGCUUGUGAUGCAUUUUGGACAUACUACUCUUGAUUG